CAAUGAAUCUUCCAGUCCAUUGUCUUUAUAAACACCUAAAAUCCUCUUAUCAUCUUGCAAUGUACCUAACUUGCGUAAUUCUCUUUCAAUAUUAUAUAAUCUUUUUCUUUCUUUUCUUUUAAAAUCAUCAACUUUCUUAUACAUAAUAUUUCCAUUCUCCAAUAUACCAAUAAAACUCGCAUUAAAGGCACCUUCAUCUCACGAGAGUACCUCCUCUUUUGUACCUCCAUUAUCUCGCUUUAUAGUGGUACCUCUCCAAAAUCCUUAAAUCCUUCAACAAUCUUUGGCAAUGGUUUCUCCCUCAACCUAUCUCAAUUCCGUU
rnacentral:lncRNA from 1 species